CAAGGUGCAGUAUAAGAAAGAAAGAAAUGGAUUACUUUAAAAAAAAUGGAUGAAUAGUAAAAAUAUAUUUUUAAUGAAAUAGGAUUUAAAAGUAACUUAAUAGAAAUGAUUUAAUGAAUUGAGAUUCUAAAAUAUGUACACAUUGCCCGUCGCUCUUAUUUAAGGUAAGAUAAGUCGUAACAUAGUAGAUGUACCGGAAGGUGUAUCUGGAUAUAGAGUAAAUAGCUUAAAUUUAAAGUUUAUUUUUUACAUUAAUAAGAUAUUUUAUAAUUUUACUUUAAAUAAAGUUAUAAAAAAGGAUGAGUAAAAAUUUUUUAGUAUAUUACUGUGGGGGGGAGCCCAAAUUAAUAUUACUAGAAAUUAUAUUUAUUGUACCUUU
rnacentral:rRNA from 1 species